AGAGAGAUAUGGCCAUUUCCCUCUGCUCUUCUUUCUGAUUUCUUAUGAAGGGCUCCGUGAUAUUUCAGGGAGGUUUAAAACUGCAUAGAUAUAUAAGUGCUGUGAAACAGAGUAGAUGGUGAAAUAGCGUUCAGCGAUGGGCACAGCCUCGGGCUGUGUGUUGGGAGCAAGGCGCUGCUUCCUCCUGUCGUGCCGAAGAUGACUCCGCCAGCCCGCAGACUAAGGAGCACAGCACGAUGAGAGCCCAGGUCUUGCCAUCAUGGUACAGAUGUGCUUACCGUAUGCAGCACAUACAUUGCUUCAGGAAGGGCCUGUCUCAACUAUGCUUUACAAAACUGACAGAUAUGGUCUGAAUUUCUUCUUCAGUUCUUGGUCCAAAAAUAAGAAAAAUUACAUCACUUACAAGAAGGGCACUGUUGAUAAACAGGUCUUGGAAUGGAAAGCAUCAUUACCAGGUGAUCAGUGCUGCAGAGACAAUCAUCCUUCCCUCUCUGAUUGGAAUUAUCUGUUCAACAGGCUUAGUUGGAAAUAUCCUCAUUGUGUUCACAAUAAUAAGACUGUCAUCUUGGCUUUCAUGAUCAUACCAUGUACUUUUGGUGAUGGUUGAUUUCAUAGACCUUCCUCCAAGCAGCAUUGUAACAGCAAGCUUGGCAGAAAGGCAAAAAGAAGUUCAGUAAUAGGCACAGGUAACAGGUACCAUGUACCUGGCGCCUUGCACAUUUCUGGAGCUCUGCGGGCUCCAUCACUGCCUCCUUGUCCAGCUCUCUGCAUCAGAGACACAGCCCAGACACUCCUGUUAUUGUUUGUUUCAGGUAUACACUUUAUCUUACUAUAACAACUUUCUUUUUUCCUUUGCCACUGAUACUUAUUUGCUACAUUUUAAUUUUAUGUUACACAUGAGAUACCUAUCAGCAAAACAAGAAAGCAGAAAGAUACAACACCAGUAUCCCCAGGCAAAGAGUCAUGAAGCUCACUAAGAUGGUGCUCGCUCUGGUCAUUGUGUUCGUGGUAAGCGCUGCCCCAUUCCAUGUGAUCCAGCUUGUGAAUCUUCAGGUUUCACACCCAACCCUAAUCUCCUACGUGAACUACUACGUCUCCAUUUGCCUCAGCUAUGUCAGCAGCAGCAUUAAUCCAUUUCUCUACAUCCUGCUCAGUGGGAACUUCCAGAAGCAUCUCCGGAGGUGCAUAAACAUGGAAGUAAGGAUGGCAGAACAGGAUGUCAACCACAUUGAAAACACCCUGAAGUCAAGUUUUUGAAAAAAUGCAUUAUCUGUGUACCAAUUUUAUUGGUCACUGUAGAUACGCCUGAUUUCACUUCCUUCAUCAAAGCGUAACUCAGAAGUGGCUUUGUCGCUGGAAUUGUAUCAGUGUAAAGUUGGUGUGAGAAGAUGAUCUGCUCCACUAUUUGAAAAGUUAUUGCUCCUAGAGGAGGGAUUCUCUGCAAAAAUAUUCUUCAUUAUUGUGCCAUUGCCUUUUUAUGGUUAUUUGUACAUAGAAGAACCAAAUGUAUAGAGACAGAAGUAGACAUUAAGCAAAAAUAUAGUCCUCUGGUAGUAAAAGAAAAAAAAAAAAAAACUGCUGCAAACAUUCAGGACAUUGUGUGUGAAGUCAUGGAAAUUGUUAAUGACCACAAGAGACUUAGUUACUGGUGACUCAGAAGGGGGUAACUUUUGAUUUUUAUCUGUAGAUAUACAGCUGUCUCAUCUGGCACUCAUUCCCGCAGCUAUUGAAGGCAGGAGAGAGACAUAAAAGGCCUUUUCAGAGGAAAACUACUUUUGAAUUAACCUUUGUACACGUCCUUGCAAAUAAAGAAGUGAAUUCACAA